rnacentral:sRNA from 1 species
GGAAGGAUCAUUACCGAAUUGUCAACAAGAGUUGUUGCUGGUCCCUGUAUGGGGGCAUGUGCACGCUCUGUUUACACAUCCACUCACACCUGUGCACGCUCUGUAGUUCUAUGGCCUGGGUGGGCUCUGCCCUCCUGCUGUGGUCCUAUGUCUUUACACACACACUACAACAAAGUCUCAUGGAAUGUAUGUCGCGUUUAACGCAAUGAAAUACAACUUUCAGCAACGGAUCUCUUGGCUCUCGCAUCGAUGAAGAACGCAGCGAAAUGCGAUAAGUAAUGUGAAUUGCAGAAUUCAGUGAAUCAUCGAAUCUUUGAACGCACCUUGCGCCCUUUGGCUAUUCCGAAGGGCAUGCCUGUUUGAGUAUCAUGAACACCUCAACUCUCAUGGCUUGCCGUGAUGUGCUUGGACUUUGGGGGUCUUGUUGGCCUGUGAGCCAGCUCCUCUUAAAUGAAUUAGCUCGCCGGUGUUUGGUGGCGUCACGGGUGUGAUAACUAUCUACGCUUGUGGUUCCCCACCAGGGUAACCUUCAGCAAUGAAGGUUCACCGGAGCUUAUAAAUGUCUCUCCUCAGCGAGGACAGAUUUUGACCAUUUGAUCUCAAAUCAGGUAGGACUACCCGCUGAACUUAAGCAUAUCAAUAAGCGGAGGAA